CAGUCGCCGCGGUAAUACGUAGGUGGCAAGCGUUAUCCGGAAUUAUUGGGCGUAAAGCGCGCGUAGGCGGUUUUUUAAGUCUGAUGUGAAAGCCCACGGCUCAACCGUGGAGGGUCAUUGGAAACUGGAAAACUUGAGUGCAGAAGAGGAAAGUGGAAUUCCAUGUGUAGCGGUGAAAUGCGCAGAGAUAUGGAGGAACACCAGUGGCGAAGGCGACUUUCUGGUCUGUAACUGACGCUGAUGUGCGAAAGCGUGGGGAUCAAACAGGAUUAGAUACCCGAGUAGUCCCUGUCUCUUAUAA
rnacentral:rRNA from 1 species